rnacentral:rRNA from 1 species
UACGUAGGGUGCAAGCGUUGUCCGGAAUUAUUGGACGUAAAGAGCUCGUAGGCGGUUUGUCGCGUCUGGUGUGAAAAUCCAGGGCUUAACCCUGGACCUGCAUCGGGUACGGGCAGACUAGAGUGCGGUAGGGGAGAUCGGAAUUCCUGGUGUAGCGGUGAAAUGCGCAGAUAUCAGGAGGAACACCGGUGGCGAAGGCGGAUCUCUGGGCCGUAACUGACGCUGAGGAGCGAAAGCAUGGGGAGCGAACAGG